rnacentral:lncRNA from 1 species
UGAGAGAGAGGGUCACAGUUGGUACGCAGACAGUUGGAGAGAGAUAGGUCAAGGCACAGACACCGGUCUCAUGAGCAGAACAGGGCAACUGGUCAGGAAUGCUGGUUUUGGCUUGUGGGAAGUCACCAACGUUAAGCCUCACAGCAGGGUGAGCUGAGCCCCUGUGUGCGGGGCUGCAAUGUAGAAAGAGCGCCCAGACAACUUUAUCACUAAUAAGGGGCAAGAAGAAACUGAAGAGGCAACUCAAGGGGCCGCUGAGAAUUCCACGAUGGGGCAAACUCAUUGAGACCUCGUUCGGAGAGCGCGGGGAGCAAGCAGAGAAGAGGCAUCAUGGCUUGUGCCCACGAGAAAUGCCAGGAAACACCAACCAACCUGCCUGAAGCACCUCUCUGCUCAGAUCUGAGGUUUCUGCAAGCUGUGGAUCACACUGUUCUUAUUGCAUCAAGGAAGAUAUCUGCUCUAAUAGAAACACAAUAGUUUAGAUAUGGGAAACAAAAGACAAUAUUUCCCUACUGCCACUUCUCAGCAUGUAUCUAAUUAGUCUCCCUUUGAUUGUAUGCUGUCAAACAAACUCAUCUGUCUUAUUAUCCUGCAAAUUUUCUUCCACUUUUAAUAAACAGUAAAUUUAUAUGUUUACCA